GGGGGCGUAAUGGUUUCGACGGGGAUCAUGAAGUGCGAUAAGCGGGCAGAGACCGGGCAAUCUCUAUAAUACGGCCCAUUUUAAAAUUAAACGCUGAUAACAAUAAGUUAGCAGUAGCCGCCUAAGUGCGGCUCGUCCGGCGCGAAGUACCGCGAUCGCGUGCAGGGCGUCAUGAAGCGGUAAAUGUGAACGGCCCGUUUCCCUUGAAGCCGUCAUAAAUUAAAGGGAUACCGAGAGGAACGCGGCGUCCGGCGCCGCCUCCUCCGGGAAUAAAAAACGCCGGACUGCGCCCGGAGAAAGUUGCGCGGAGCGGUUUUCGGACAGGAGUUCGAUUCUCCUCGCCUCCACCA
rnacentral:tmRNA from 1 species